GUCAUUAUAACCGACGCACUUUAUAAAAAAACUAAAAAAAAAACAAACGCAAAAAAAAUUAUCCAUCUUCACCUGCCCUUCAAUUAGGCUCAGAACACUCUGAUUGGUGGGUUUAAGCCAUCCAAUCAGAGUGCUCUGACAGGUAAAUGAAGAGACUGACAGGUAAGUCUCUACAUUUACCUGUCAGAGCACUCUGGUGGAUUUUUAAAGUGCGUUGGUUAUUAUGGCUUUUUAUUUGGCCUUUUUGGGGGCUGAAAAAAGAUUUUAGAAAAGAGAAAAC